GACGAACGCUGGCGGCGUGCUUAACACAUGCAAGUCGAACGGAAAGGCCCUGCUUUUGUGGGGUGCUCGAGUGGCGAACGGGUGAGUAACACGUGAGUAACCUGCCCUUGACUUUGGGAUAACUUCAGGAAACUGGGGCUAAUACCGGAUAGGAGCUCCUGCUGCAUGGUGGGGGUUGGAAAGUUUCGGCGGUUGGGGAUGGACUCGCGGCUUAUCAGCUUGUUGGUGGGGUAGUGGCUUACCAAGGCUUUGACGGGUAGCCGGCCUGAGAGGGUGACCGGCCAAAUGGGAACUAGAAUACGCCCCAACCUCCUACGGGGGGAAGAGGGGGGGAAUUUUGCACAAGGGGGGGAGGCCGGAUGCGGCAACGCGGGGGGGGGGAGGAGGGCCUUGGGGUUGAAAACCCCUUUCCCUGGUAAGGAGGGGGGGGUGGCGGUAAGGGGAAAAGAAGCAGCGGCUAAUUAGGG
rnacentral:rRNA from 1 species